rnacentral:ncRNA from 1 species
CAACCUCAACUCAUAUGGGACUACCCCCUGAAUUUAAGCAUAUUAAUUAGGGGAGGAAAAGAAACUAACAAGGAUUUUCUUAGUAGCGGCGAGCGAAAAGAAAUCAGUUCAGCACUAAGUCACUUUGUCUAUAUGGCAAAUGUGAGAUGCAGUGUAUGGAACAUCAACAUUCUAGUAUGAGAAGUUAACGAUUUAAGUCCUUCUUAAAUGAGGCCAUUUACCCAUAGAGGGUGCCAGGCCCGUAUAACGUUAAUGAUUACUAGAUGGUGUUUCCAAAGAGUCGUGUUGCUUGAUAGUGCAGCACUAAGUGGGUGGUAAACUCCAUCUAAAACUAAAUAUAACCAUGAGACCGAUAGUAAACAAGUACCGUGAGGGAAAGUUGAAAAGAACUCUGAAUAGAGAGUUAAAUAGUACGUGAAACUGCUUAGAGGUUAAGCCCGAUGAACCUGAAUAUCCGUUAUGGAAAAUUCAUCAUUAGAAUUGUAAUAUUUUAAACAAUAUUAUAAUAAUAGUGUGCAUUUUUUCCAUAUAAGGACAUUGUAAUCUAUUAGCAUAAAUAUUUAUCAUAAAAUUAUGUCUGAUUGCUUAUUUGAAUUAUAUGCUUGGCAUUUUAACAUAAAAUAAAAGAUAUAAAUUUGAUAAAGUGCUGAUAGAUUUAUAUGAUUACAGUGCGUUAAUUUUUCGGAAUUAUAUAAUGGCAUAAUUAUCAUUGAUAUUUGUGUUUAUUAUAUGCAUUUGUAU